ACAAUUUAAAAAAAUACAACAUUCUUUUAAAGUUAAAGAAAUAAAACUUUAAUCAAUCCACAGGCUUUCUUAAGCACUUGGUGCCUACUACGUGCCAGGCACAGCAGCUAAGAGUUUGGCGACUCACGUACAAAGAAGGACAACAAUGCCUCAUUUUCCGGAAAUCUGCACCAGGAUUUACUUCUACCUUGAACAACACAUUUCCAUUUAGAUUACGCAAAAUUCUCUUGUGGUAUAAUUUCCUUCCCUUAGAGGGGGAGGGAGAUUGGGGCGGGGGGGGGGGGUACGAACAAGACGGUUAUUUAAUUGCUGAGAGCAAAGUCCCAACCUCGGCUCCAGAGUCAUAAAAGCUUUGCUUGGGAAAGGGGGAAACAGUUUCUAUAGCGACUGGGGGGUGGGCGGAGGGUGAAGAGAGAGGGUGUGGCCUUCCACCCUUUAGGUAAUUACCCAAUUUAGUCUCUAGCAGCAGCCGGGUUAGUCUGCUCCGACUUGGUGCGGCCACUCCAACACCUGCCCCCACCGGACCAAAGUUUGGACUUGCACAGUAGAUGACAUCAAAUUCCUUUGGCAGAAGAAGAUAAGGGGGAAAAUGGACUUCAUUUGACCUAUGGAAUUCUACCAUACUGAACAUAUGUCCCAAGAAAGAGGAAAAAAAUCAUUGAACAUCAGGUAUUUGCUUGGAAGCUUACUGCUGGAGCAGACGCAGCUUUUCCCGUGUAGCCUGCCAUGCUGGAGUUUGGAAGGUUUGGAAUGUAGGUGGAGGGAAUGGAGAACAACCACUAUGAAAGAAAUUCCCCUUUGUGAAAUUGCAUCUUAAACUCUUUUUGCCCCUUCUUUAUAAUCUUACAGCUGACCACAAAAAAAAAAAACAAGAGAU
rnacentral:lncRNA from 1 species